GCAUACUUUACAAAAUGAGGUGAUUAAGACUCUUAAUCAGUGGGCCCAGGGUUCGAGUCCCUGAAGGUGCACCA
rnacentral:tRNA from 1 species